GCACCUCCUAACAGCUAGCCCCCCCCUCCAACAACAACAAACAAUAUUAAUAACCCCACACCCCCCCCUCCACACAACAAACAAACCAUUUUUCCUCCCUAGUAUGGGCGACAGAAAAGGACCACUGGCGCAAUAGAAAAAGUACCGCAAGGGAAAGCUGAAAGAGAAAUGAAACAACCCAGUAAAGAGGCACAAAGCAGAGACACCCCCUCGUACCUUUUGCAUCAUGAUUUAGUUAGUAGCCCUCAAGCAAAGUGCCCUUUAGUUUGAGCCCCCGAAACUUGGCGAGCUACUCCAGGACAGCCUAUUUAGGGCAAACCCGUCUCUGUAGCAAAAGAGUGGGAAGAUCUUUGAGUAGAGGUGACAGACCUACCGAGCUAAGUUAUAGCUGGUUGCCUACAAAAUGAAUAGAAGUUCAGCCUUAAUUCUUCUUCCCUCAAAACUGCACACACUACCGAGUGACACAAAGAAAAUUUAAGAGUUAUUCAAGGGGGGAACAGCCCCCUUGAAAAAGGACACAACCUUGUUAAAGCAGGCUAAAGAUUAAAAUACUUAAGGCAAAGUACCUUGGUGGGCCUAAAAGCAGCCACCCCUACAGAUAGCGUUAAAGCUCAAGUACCUCCCUCCUCCCUAAUCCGUACAACAUAAUCUAAAGCCCCUUUCACAAUAGUAGGCCUUUUCAUGCAACCAUGAAAGAGACACUGCUAAAAUGAGUAAUAAGAGGGCCGCCCCUCUCCCAACACCUAUGUAACUCAGAACGAACCCAUCACUGAAAAUUAACGCCCCCAACAAAAGAGGGCCCUGGGAAAACCCAACAUAACCUAGAAAUCCACCCAAAACCUAGCGUUAACCCCACACAGGUGUGUUUUAGGAAAGACUAAAAGAAAAAGAAGGAACUCGGCAAACAUUGGCCUCGCCUGUUUACCAAAAACAUCGCCUCUUGCAACAACUGUAUAAGAGGUCCCGCCUGCCCUGUGACUACAUUAGUUUAACGGCCGCGGUAUUUUGACCGUGCGAAGGUAGCGUAAUCACUUGUCUUUUAAAUGGAGACCUGUAUGAAUGGCAUAACGAGGGCUAAGCUGUCUCCUUUUUCCAGUCAAUGAAAUUGAUCUUCCCGUGCAGAAGCGGGAAUAAAACCAUAAGACGAGAAGACCCUAUGGAGCUUAAGACACAAGGCAGUCCAUGUAAAAUACCUGGCUUAAACAGAAUUAACCAAGUGGUACCUGCCCUUUUGUUUUUGGUUGGGGCGACCGUGGGGAAACAAACAUCCCCCAUGCGGAAUGGGGCCCACCCCCUUAAAGCUAGAGCGACAGCUCCAGCUAACAGAAUAUCUGACCUACAAGAUCCGGCAAAGCCGAUCAACGGACCGAGUUACCCUAGGGAUAACAGCGCAAUCCCCUUUUAGAGCCCAUAUCGACAAGGGGGUUUACGACCUCGAUGUUGGAUCAGGACAUCCUAAUGGUGCAGCCGCUAUUAAGGGUUCGUUUGUUCAACGAUUAAAGUCCUACGUGAUCUGAGUUCAGACCGGAGAAAUCCAGGUCAGUUUCUAUCUAUGAGUGCUCUUUUCUAGUACGAAAGGACCGAAAAGAAGAGGCCCAUGCUAAAAGUAUGCCUCCCCCUUACCUAAGGAAACCAACUAAAAUAGGUAAAAGGGCACAGCACCCUGCCUGAGAAAAAGGCAA
rnacentral:rRNA from 1 species